GCUGUAUGCAACAUUCACGUAGGAUUAUUUCUUGUUUCCUGGCUGAAGAUUCCUGUGCUAAGUUUUGGGGAGUAAACCAGGCUCUCUACAAUCUAAGGAGGACAGAUGGUCAAUGUGCGGGUGACGAUUCCCACCGUCGUCUUCACAGAUGAAAAGAGAAGAUGAGAGUCUGGGAUGAGCAAAGAGGAGGAAAAGAGAGUAAAGGCCAAGUUAAAUGGAGGUGAUUUAUCACGUGUGUUCUCUCAAUCUGUGACAAGGAGGAGGAGGAUGGAGGACCUCUCUGCUAUAUCCUGUGCCCGCUUCUAAGAGGUAUUGCCUCUCUUAUUGCUGCUGUAGAGCCCCAUCAGUGCCAGGCGCUCUGAUUUAUGUCUCUGAUCCGCUUCCACCUCCAACUCCUUUCCAUUAGUCUCUACAAUUUUGCCCCCAUUGUUCGGUUGCCGGCGUUAUCGCCCCUGCACAGGCCUGUCAGCAGGACUUGCC